rnacentral:rRNA from 1 species
AACGAACGCUGGCGGCAUGCCUAACACAUGCAAGUCGAACGAAGCCUUCGGGCUUAGUGGCGCACGGGUGCGUAACGCGUGGGAAUCUGCCCUUGGGUUCGGAAUAACAGUUAGAAAUGACUGCUAAUACCGGAUAAGCCCUACGGGGGAAAGAUUUAUCGCCAAAGGAGCGGCCCGCGUCAGAUUAGGUAGUUGGUGGGGUAAAGGCCUACCAAGCCUACGAUCUGUAGCUGGUCUGAGAGGAUGAUCAGCCACACUGGGACUGAGACACGGCCCAGACUCCUACGGGAGGCAGCAGUGGGGAAUCUUGGACAAUGGGCGCAAGCCUGAUCCAGCCAUGCCGCGUGGAUGAUGAAGGCCUUAGGGUUGUAAAAUCCUUUCAACGGGGACGAUAAUGACGGUACCCGUAGAAGAAGCCCCGGCUAACUUCGUG